rnacentral:rRNA from 1 species
GACGAACGCUGGCGGCGUGCUUAACACAUGCAAGUCGAACGGAAAGGCCCUGCUUUUGUGGGGUGCUCGAGUGGCGAACGGGUGAGUAACACGUGAGUAACCUGCCCUUGACUUUGGGAUAACUUCAGGAAACUGGGGCUAAUACCGGAUAGGAGCUCCUGCUGCAUGGUGGGGGUUGGAAAGUUUCGGCGGUUGGGGAUGGACUGGCGGCUUAUCAGCUUGUUGGUGGGGUAGUGGCUUACCAAGGCUUUGACGGGUAGCCGGCCUGAGAGGGUGACCGGCCACAUGGGGACUGAGAUACGGACCAGACUCCUACGGGAGGCAGCAGUGGGGAAUAUUGCACAAUGGGCGGAAGCCUGAUGCAGCAACGCCGCGUGCGGGAUGACGGCCUUCGGGUUGUAAACCGCUUUCGCCGGUGACGAAGCGUGAGUGACGGUAAUGGGUAAAGAAGCACCGGCUAACUACGUG